UACGUAGGGUGCGAGCGUUAAUCGGAAUUACUGGGCGUAAAGUGUGCGCAGGUGGCCGCGCAAGUCGAGUGUGAAAUCCCCGAGCUUAACUUGGGAAUUGCGCUCGAAACUACGUGGCUCGAGUGUGGCAGAGGAAGGUGGAAUUCCACGUGUAGCGGUGAAAUGCGUAGAGAUGUGGAGGAGCACCGAUGGCGAAGGCAGCCUUCUGGGCCAACACUGACGCUCAUGCACGAAAGCGUGGGGAGCAAACAGG
rnacentral:rRNA from 1 species